rnacentral:rRNA from 2 species
GGUGGUGCAUGGUUGUCGUCAGCUCGUGUCGUGAGAUGUUGGGUUAAGUCCCGCAACGAGCGCAACCCUUGAUCUUAGUUGCCAGCAUUCAGUUGGGCACUCUAAGGUGACUGCCGGUGACAAACCGGAGGAAGGUGGGGAUGACGUCAAAUCAUCAUGCCCCUUAUGACCUGGGCUACACACGUGCUACAAUGGAUGGUACAAAGGGCAGCAAAACCGCGAGGUCGAGCAAAUCCCAUAAAACCAUUCUCAGUUCGGAUUGUAGGCUGCAACUCGCCUACAUGAAGCUGGAAUCGCUAGUAAUCGCGGAUCAGCAUGCCGCGGUGAAUACGUUCCCGGGCCUUGUACACACC